rnacentral:rRNA from 1 species
GACGAACGCUGGCGGCGUGCUUAACACAUGCAAGUCGAACGAAGAGCGACGGAAGCUUGCUUCUAUCAAUCUUAGUGGCGAACGGGUGAGUAACGCGUAAUCAACCUGCCCUUCAGAGGGGGACAACAGUUGGAAACGACUGCUAAUACCGCAUACGAUCUAAUCUCGGCAUCGAGGAUGGAUGAAAGGUGGCCUCUCCAUGUAAGCUAUCACUGAAGGAGGGGAUUGCGUCUGAUUAGCUAGUUGGAGGGGUAACGGCCCACCAAGGCGAUGAUCAGUAGCCGGUCUGAGAGGAUGAACGGCCACAUUGGGACUGAGACACGGCCCAGACUCCUACGGGAGGCAGCAGUGGGGAAUCUUCCGCAAUGGACGAAAGUCUGACGGAGCAACGCCGCGUGAGUGAUGACGGCCUUCGGGUUGUAAAGCUCUGUUAAUCGGGACGAAAGGCCUUCUUGCGAAUAGUGAGAAGGAUUGACGGUACCGGAAUAGAAAGCCACGGCUAACUACGUG